CGUCAGAUAUUGGUGUCGCUC
rnacentral:siRNA from 1 species